UGAACGAAUUCAGACUGUG
rnacentral:siRNA from 1 species